rnacentral:rRNA from 1 species
UACGGGGGGAGCAAGCGUUGUUCGGAUUUACUGGGCGUAAAGGGCGCGUAGGCGGCCAGCACAAGUCAGUUGUGAAAUCUCCGAGCUUAACUCGGAAAGGUCAACUGAUACUGUGCGGCUAGAGUGCGGAAGGGGCAACUGGAAUUCUUGGUGUAGCGGUGAAAUGCGUAGAUAUCAAGAGGAACACCUGCGGCGAAGGCGGGUUGCUGGGCCGACACUGACGCUGAUGCGCGAAAGCGUGGGGAGCAAACAGG